rnacentral:rRNA from 1 species
UACGGGGGGGCGAAGCGUUGUUCGGAAUUACUGGGCGUAAAGGGCUCGUAGGCGGCCAACUAAGUCGGACGUGAAAUCCCUCGGCUUAACCGGGGAACUGCAUCCGAUACUGGAGGGCUUGAGUUUGGGAGAGGGAUGCGGAAUUCCAGGUGUAGCGGUGAAAUGCGUAGAUAUCUGGAGGAACACCGGUGGCGAAGGCGGCAUCCUGGACCAACACUGACGCUGAGGAGCGAAAGCCAGGGGAGCAAACGGGG